rnacentral:rRNA from 1 species
AUUGAACGCUGGCGGCAGGCUUAACACAUGCAAGUCGAGCGGGGUGAUGGUGCUUGCACUAUCACUUAGCGGCGGACGGAUGAGUAAUGCUUAGGAAUCUGCCUAUUAGUGGGGGACAACAUCUCGAAAGGGAUGCUAAUACCGCAUACGUCCUACGGGAGAAAGCAGGGGAUCACUUGUGACCUUGCGCUAAUAGAUGAGCCUAAGUCGGAUUAGCUAGUUGGUGAGGUAAAAGCCUACCAAGGCGACGAUCUGUAGCGGGUCUGAGAGGAUGAUCCGCCACACUGGGACUGAGACACGGCCCAGACUCCUACGGGAGGCAGCAGUGGGGAAUAUUGGACAAUGGGGGGAACCCUGAUCCAGCCAUGCCGCGUGUGUGAAGAAGGCCUUAUGGUUGUAAAGCACUUUAAGCGAGGAGGAGGCUCUUUUGGUUAAUACCCAAGAUGAGUGGACGUUACUCGCAGAAUAAGCACCGGCUAACUCUGUGCCAGCAGCCGCAGUAA